rnacentral:sRNA from 1 species
CAGACAGUUUUGGCGACUGAAGCCUUCCUUUUACCCAGAGAACAGGUACAGCAUAGACAGCAGCAGCAGUAAGCUUCCCAGUACACCAGCCCUGAGCUGGAGGGACCUCCUUAGGUUAAGAAAAUAAUUCAGUUUCAAGGUCCAUUCAGCUCUCAGGCAAAC